rnacentral:lncRNA from 1 species
UUUUUUUUUUUUUUCCAUUCGUUGUUGUUCAUUAUUGUUCAUUCUUCGCAUAAUGUUUACUAUUCUUUUUCCCCACAGCAAUCUAUCUUUUGAUGGAUUUUCUUUUCUUCUCAUGAGACCAUCCCUAAUUAAAGUAAACUUAAAUCGCUUGUUGAUGCAUGAUAGUGAUUUUAUGGUAAUUUCUUAAAUGCUACCUAAGCGUCAUGUUUGAGGAUAUACUAUUUUUUUUUGGGGGCUUAGUUUUAUUUAUUAAUUUAUUGAUAAGAAAGUAGAUAUUGUUAUUGAAAAACAAGAUAUAAUUUCAGACUAAUAUCAUUAGCGGAGAACAUCAUCUUUAUUGGCAUACAUACAUACAUACAUACAUACACGUGUGCGCGCGCGUGCGUGCGUGCAUGUUGAAAUUUAUGAAUGUAUCUAUAUAUGUACAUGUGUAUGCAUGUAUGUGCUACCUAAUAUUCUGGUUUUGCAAACAUUAGAUAUUGCUAGGUCUAUCUAGAUCAACCUGAGUGAUACUUGCAUGGUUUUAUUUUGCUUUUAGUUAUUAGUUUUCUAUAUCCUUUUCUAUGUUAUCUAUUUAUUGUGUACAUUGUUUCCUCUAUAAUGGAUCUAUUGGAAACCUUUUGAAGGAAAAAAAGAACUUGUCCAUGUCAGAGCUUGAGACAUCCAGAGUAGCUGCUGUUGUUAAAAUUUUGAAGGACACAUCACACUACCAUUGUAGUAGUUUUGCAGAUGUUGACAUUUCAUUGUUGUUGAAAUUGCUAAAAACAUGGCCUCCGGCAAUGAUAUUUCCAGGUUUGUAAGGCUAUUACUAUUAGUAUGUGGUUCCUCAUUGAGGUUCUUCCAAUAAAUUUUAGUUCAUUGUGGUACAGACUUCACAGUGUAGUCAAUUUGUAAUAUUUUAUAGUCUCUGUUGGAUUAUGGAUUGAUUGUUCUUUACUUGUUACCUGUUCAUACUUGUGCCUAAUACUCGUACCUCUCUAACAUAUCAAGGAUAUAUAUUUUUUUCCCCUCACUUUCUAGUUAUUGUGCUUUCUACUUUUGCAGUUAUUGAUAUUCUGAGGAUGACCAUCCUGCAUCCUGAUGGAGCUAGCCUACUUCUCAAGCAUGUUGAAAAUCAAAAUGGUAUUAGAGAGAGAAAUUUAGCUUUUCUGUUUACGUUUUAUACUGACAAUUGAUAUUAUUUAUAAUCUUGUGGUACAACAUACCUAUGUCAUGAUGUGCAACAAUCCUUAUUUUGUUGAUAAACAUGGAAUGUACUUGUGGAUGAUGCCACAUCGCCUAGUAUUUAACUUUUUUUGUACUGUCAGAAGUUCUUCGCAUAAUGUUUACUAUUCUUUUUCCCCACAGCAAUCUAUCUUUUGAUGGAUUUUCUUUUCUUCUCAUGAGACCAUCCCUAAUUAAAGUAAACUUAAAUCGCUUGUUGAUGCAUGAUAGUGAUUUUAUGGUAAUUUCUUAAAUGCUACCUAAGCGUCAUGUUUGAGGAUAUACUAUUUUUUUUUGGGGGC